GACGAACGCUGGCGGCGUGCUUAACACAUGCAAGUCGAACGGUGAUGCUCCAGCUUGCUGGAGUGGAUCAGUGGCGAACGGGUGAGUAACACGUGAGCAACCUGCCCCAGACUCUGGAAUAAGCGCUGGAAACGGCGUCUAAUACUGGAUACGAAACUGGCCCGCAUGGGCAUGGUUUGGAAAGUUUUUCGGUUUGGGAUGGGCUCGCGGCCUAUCAGCUUGUUGGUGAGGUAAUGGCUCACCAAGGCGACGACGGGUAGCCGGCCUGAGAGGGCGACCGGCCACACGGGGACUGAGACACGGCCCAGACUCCUACGGGAGGCAGCAGUGGGGAAUAUUGCACAAUGGGCGAAAGCCUGAUGCAGCGACGCCGCGUGAGGGAUGACGGCCUUCAGGUUGUAAACCUCUUUCAGCAGGGAAGAAGCGAAAGUGACGGUACCUGCAGAAGAAGCACCGGCUAACUACGUG
rnacentral:rRNA from 1 species